UCUCAUGAGGUUGGUGAGAUCCACGUGUGUGAGUCUGAGGUCCAACAGAUGUCUAACAGCGGGCCUGAGGAGUUAAUCUUUGCAAGAUGAGGCAAAGGAGAAAUGCUUCAACCCUGGCUGGUCACUGGCAAUCCUUCGUAGGCAGCGUUAUUGACACCCAAGGAUCCAGGAAAUAGGGGCAGGAUGUCUGUGUCACCAAAGCUAGAAGAAAGGCUCUCAUCUACGAGUAUUUGAUGUCUGCUGAGAUGAGGGAGAGAAACACCAAAUCUGUGGACCUCUACAACAUCUUCCGCCUGCACCUUCAUAAAGAAAUACAGAAGAUUCUCAGAUGAAAAUAAGUUAAUUUUGCUUUGGGGAGAAGCCAAAAACUUUAGCCAAUCAAUAGUGUUUUACCUUAAGAACUUCUGUAGGUUGCUGAAUCAGAAGGAAACCAUUAUCAGAACAGAGUGCCAUACUUUAAAGUACACAGACACAAAACACAACAAUGUUCUUUGACAUCAGAUGAUAAAUGGAUGCUGAGGGAGAAAACAGCCUUUUAUCCUCCAGGAAGAACUGAACUUGGAGUGCAUGCCUAAAGAAAACACAAACAAAGGACUGAAAUAGAAGGAAGAAAAAUAUUUUCAUGGUUUUCAAGAACUAAUAUCCUGGAAGAGGUGACGAUGCAGACCAAGGAGAAUAGGUGUGUGGUGGUGGUUUCCAGAGAAUCAGAGCAUUGACACACAAGAAAGCCCUUCCCAAGCACUGGAUUUAUGUACAUCUUUAGGAGAAAAGGAGUUAAAUUAUUUAGUAAGCCAUAUAAAAUAUUAUGUAUAUGUUACAUGAAAGCAAAUGUGUUACUGAAGGCACCCAUCUGAGAUGUUAAGCCAAAAGUUGCAGUAUAAAGGAUCUGCUUGGUGAGGGCUGCUUUGAGAAUUGUGUCCUGUCUGUUGCUGGCAGGAAGAUGUUAGGGCAGCAGUAUGUGAUGGCACCAAGAGGGAUUCCAGAUUCAGACCAGACUGGGGAAACCUCCCUGAGCAGCCUAAGGAGAAAGCAGCAGUUCUAGUUACUACAUGUUUAGGAAUGUGACACAUUUGGGAUUUAUUGGCAGUGGUGGCAGUGCCUAAGAGAAGACUCCAGUUUCAUUAAGGAGAGAGUCUUUUUUAGUCCCCUUGACUCAUUCAAGGAAGAAAAAGUCUUUUCUCUGAACAAUGUAAGUCCAUAUCUCAUUCUAUCAUCUUUUUCUUUGGUUACUGGAGGAUUUUGCUGGAUGGUUUGAGAAGACAGAUACUUAAUGAGGGUGGAUUUUUAUGAAAAUAAAAAGAAAACCAAAGAUUAACCAUUGCAACAGACCAGUUAAUGAUUGCAACAGAGCAGUUUUUUAGUCUGGAGGGCUGCUAGUUGAGAAGACUUCCAUACGCUGGGUGGUGGUGAUCUGCAGGUUCAAAUGUUUUGGGAGAUGGCGUGGGUGUCAGUGUUGUAGUCAUGGGCAUUUCCCGGAGUGGAGCAUGGGGAUGUGGGGAAAACCCGAAAAGGGAACCAUUAAGGUCAUCCCAUUGGAUGAGGAGAAGCACUUAGGCUGCAGGGAUGGCAGGUGUCUUCAAAGAAGCGUCAGAGAGUGCGACAAAAACUGCAUUUGGAUGACAGGACCAACAUGACUAAAGUUAAAGAGCAGACAAGAGUUUAUUUGACUGGAAGAUUUGGCUGUUUUUGUAGCAUACGGCAUUUUAAAGUAAUAGCGAGAAUUACGAUCAUUAAGUUAUACAGCGAGGUGUCACAAAUAGCAAAGGUGAAGGUCCUGACAUAUUCCCUAGGAAUGUCACAGAAUUUCUGAAAUUUUAUAUAAUAUUAUUAGUGAUAUGAAUA